rnacentral:rRNA from 1 species
AUUGAACGCUGGCGGCAUGCCUUACACACGCAAGUCGAACGGCAGCACGGGAGCAAUCCUGGUGGCGAGUGGCGAACGGGUGAGUAAAGUACCGGAACGUGCCUAGUCGUGGGUGAUAACGUAGCGAAAGCUACGCUAAUACCGCAUACGAUCUAUGGCUGAAAGCGGGGGAUCGCAAGACCUCGCGCGACUGGAGCGGCCGAUAUCAGAUUAGGUAGUUGGUGGGGUAAAGGCCGACCAAGCCGACGAUCUGUAGCUGGUCUGAGAGGACGACCAGCCACGCUGGGACUGAGACACGGCCCAGACUCCUACGGGAGGCUGCAGUGGGGAAUUUUGGACAAUGGGCGCAAGCCUGAUCCAGCAAUGCCGCGUGCAGGAUGAAGGCCUUCGGGUUGUAAACUGCUUUUGUACGGAACGAAAAGGCUCUCACUAAUACUGGGGGCUCAUGACGGUACCGUAAGAAUAAGCACCGGCUAACUACGUGCCAGCAGCCGCAGUAA